rnacentral:rRNA from 1 species
GAUGAAGAACGUAGCGAAAUGCGAUACUUGGUGUGAAUUGCAGAAUCCCGUGAACCAUCGAGUCUUUGAACGCAAGUUGCGCCCGAAGCCUUUAGGCCAAGGGCACGUCUGCCUGGGCGUCACGUAUCGCGUCGCCCCCAAUCCGCACUCAUUGCG